rnacentral:lncRNA from 10 species
AUCUUAUAGAUUGAGUAUACGAAGCAAGAUACAAAUUACUCCAUUUAUAUAAAUGUAAAAAAAAAAACAAAACAAAACCUAGGCAGCAUAGCCAAACCCUGUCUGCACAAAAAUGUAAAAUAAAAUUAGCCAGGUAUGGUGGAGGAUGAGUCCUAGCUACUUAGGAGGCUGAGGUGUGUGGAUCACUUGAGCCAGGAGUUCAAGGCUGCAGUGAGUCAUGACAGGACAGAGGGAGACCUGUCUACUGUCUGUCCCUAUAGAAAAAGAAAAAAUCUCCUGGUGUCUUUUCCUGAAUUUGGCAGACAGGAUGGCCAGAGGAAAUGCAUCAAUGCAGAGGGACAGAAACAGCAGUGUGGCCUGGGAAAGGUCAGGCUUUGACACAAGGAAUUUAGAGAAGAAAAAAGGUGUGGUCUGCUGUUUCAUUCAGUCCAUUAUCUGUUGAGCAUUCCUUUUUUUAUUCAAAUAGAGCAGAAGAAAGGAGCUUGAAAUGGACAGUUAUCUCUGGUUUAUCUGGCUGUAGAGUGCAGAGAUGAUUCUCUUUCAGGAUGGGAGAGGGGGUGGGGAGG